UACGUAGGGACCAAGCGUUGUUCGGAUUUACUGGGCGUAAAGGGCGCGUAGGCGGCGUGUUAAGUCACUUGUGAAAUCUCUGAGCUUAACUCAGAACGGUCAAGUGAUACUGAUGUGCUAGAGUGCAGAAGGGGCAACCGGAAUUCUUGGUGUAGCGGUGAAAUGCGCAGAUAUCAGGAGGAACACCGGUGGCGAAGGCGGGUCUCUGGGCCGAUACUGACGCUGAGGAGCGAAAGCGUGGGGAGCGAACAGG
rnacentral:rRNA from 1 species